rnacentral:rRNA from 1 species
UACGUAGGGUGCGAGCGUUGUCCGGAAUUACUGGGCGUAAAGAGCUCGUAGGUGGUUUGUCGCGUUGUCCGUGAAAACUCACAACUCAAUUGUGGGCGUGCGGGCGAUACGGGCAGACUGGAGUACUGCAGGGGAGACUGGAAUUCCUGGUGUAGCGGUGGAAUGCGCAGAUAUCAGGAGGAACACCAAUGGCGAAGGCGGACUCUGGGCCGAUGACUGACGCUGAGGAGCGAAGACGUGGGGAGCAAACAGG